rnacentral:rRNA from 1 species
UACGUAGGGCGCAAGCGUUGUCCGGAAUUAUUGGGCGUAAAGAGCUCGUAGGCGGUUUGUCGCGUCUGCUGUGAAAACCUAAGGCUCAACCUUGGGGCUUGCAGUGGGUACGGGCAGGCUAGAGUGCGGUAGGGGGAGACUGGAAUUCCUGGUGUAGCGGUGAAAUGCGCAGAUAUCAGGAGGAACACCGGUGGCGAAGGCGGGUCUCUGGGCCGAUACUGACGCUGAGGAGCGAAAGCGUGGGGAGCGAACAGG